UAGAUUUAUCUAUUACCCUAUCUGGGGAAUGGCUUGGCUUGGAACGCCGAUGAAGGACGUGGUAAGCUGCGAUAAGCUCAGGCGAGACGCAUACAGUCAUUGAACCUGAGAUUUCCGAAUGGGACUUCCUACUUUGUAAUCCGUUAAGGAUUGGGAACGCGGGGGAUUGAAGCAUCUUAGUACCCGCAGGAAGAGAAAUCAAUAGAGAUUCCGUUAUUAGAGGCGAUUGAACGCGGAUCAGAGCAAACUGAAUCCCUUCGGGGAGAUGUGGUGUUAUAGGGCCUUCUUUUCGCCUGUUGAGAAAAGCUGAAGUUGACUGGAACGUCACACUAUAGAGGGUGAAAGUCCCGUAAGCGUAAUCGAUUCAGGUUUGAAGUGUCCCUGAGUACCGUGCGUUGGAUAUCGCGCGGGAAUUUGGGAGGCAUCAACUUCCAACUCUAAAUACGUUCCAAGACCGAUAGUGUACUAGUACCGCGAGGGAAAGCUGAAAAGCACCUUUAAUCGGGUGUGAAAAGAGCCUGAAACCAGAUAGGUAUGGUAUGACACGGCCCCAAAGGCAACUAUACUGAAGGAAACCGUCGCAAGACGGCUGUACGAAGUAUAGAGCCAGGGUUGUGUCGUCCGUUUCGAAAAACGGGCCGGGGAGUAUAUUGUUGUGGCGAGCUUAAGAUCUUCACGAUCGUAGGCGUAGGGAAACCAACAAGUCCGCAAAAUCUUGAGGGACGGGGUCUUAAGGGCCCGGAGUCACAGCAAUAUGACCCGAAACCGGGCGAUCUAGGCCGGGGCAAGGUGAAGUCCCUCAACUGAGGGAUGGAGGCCUGCAGAGUUGUUGCCGUUCGAAGCACUCUUCUGACCUCGGUCUAGGGGUGAAAGGCCAAUCGAGCCCGGAGAUAGCUGGUUCCCUCCGAAGUGACUCUCAGGUCAGCCGGAGUUUAGAUAGUCGGCAAGGUAGAGCACUGAUAAGGUGGUUAGGGGAAGAAAUUCCUCGCUGUUUUGUCAAACUCCGAACUUGUCGUCGUCGCAUGCUCCGAGUGAGGGCAUACGGGUAAGCUGUAUGUCCGAGACGGGAAUAACCGAGACUUGGGUUAAGGCCCCUAAGUGCCGAUUAAGUGUGAACACGAAGGGCGUCCUUGGUCUAAGACAGCAGGGAGGUUGGCUUAGAAGCAGCCAUCCUUUAACGAGUGCGUAACAGCUCACCUGUCGAGAUCAAGGGCCCCGAAAAUGGACGGGGCUAAAUCGGCCGCCGAGACCCAAGGGCACCGAAAGGUGAUCCUGUAGGGGGGCGUUCUGCGAGGGCAGAAGUUCGGCUGUGAAGUCGAGUGGACCUCGUAGAAAUGAAGAUCCCGGUAGUAGUAACAGCAUAAGUGGGGUGAGAAUCCCCACCGCCGAAGGGGCAAGGGUUCCACAGCAAUGUUUUUCAGCUGUGGGUAAGCCGGUCCUAACUCUCGAGUUAACUUCUUUGAGAGGAAAGGGAAACAGGUUAAUAUUCCUGUGCCAUCUAAAUACGCGUGGCAACACUAGGUUAGUUUCCGACGCUUCUGGGUAGGCUGAGUGUUCUUGUCUGGGCAUUCAAGCUUAUAAGUCCGGGGAGAGUUGUAAUAAUNNNNNNNNNNNNNNNNNNNNNNNNNNNNNNNNNNNNNNNNNNNNNNNNNNNNNNNNNNNNNNNNNNNNNNNNNNNNNNNNNNNNNNNNNNNNNNNNNAUGAGAACCGGAUGAAAGAGUGAUGAGCUCUCCGUUAGGAGGGUUCGGCCGAUCUCUGGAGCCCGUGAAAAGGGAACUAACAAGGAUUUUAGAUGUCCGUACCCAGAACCGACACUGGUGCCCCUAGGUGAGUAUCCUAAGGCGUAGCGGAUGAAUCUAGUCGAGGGAAGUCGGCAAAUUGGCUCCGUAACUUCGGGAGAAGGAGUGCCAGUGAUCUUGUUUAUAUAUGGGAUCGCUGGUCGCAGUGACCAGGGAGGUCCGACUGUUUAAUACAAACAUAGGUCUUAGCGAGCCUGAAAAGGUGUGUACUAAGGCCGACGCCUGCCCAGUGCUGGUACGUGAACCCCGGUUCCAACCGGGCGAAGCGCCAGUAAACGGCGGGGGUAACUAUAACCCUCUUAAGGUAGCGAAAUUCCUUGUCGGGCAAGUUCCGACCUGCAUGAAUGGCGUAACGAGACCUCCACUGUCCCCGACUAGAAUCCGGUGAACCUACCAUUCCGGCGCAAAGGCCGGAGACUUCCAGUGGGAAGCGAAGACCCCGUGGAGCUUUACUGCAGCCUGUCGUUGGGGCAUGGUUGUGAGUGUACAGUGUAGGUGGGAGCCAUCGAAACCUUUUCGCCAGGAAAGGUGGAGGCGACCCUGGGACACCACCCUCUCAUGACCAUGUUCCUUACCCUUUUAGGGGACACCGGUAGGUGGGCAGUUUGGCUGGGGCGGUACCCUCCUAAAAAUGCAUCAGGAGGGCCCAAAGGUUGGCUCAAGCGGGUCAGGACUCCGCUGUUGAGUGUAAGGGCAAAAGCCAGCCUGACUUUGUUGCCAACAAAACGCAACGAAGAGGCGAAAGCCGGGCCUAACGAACCCCUGUGCCUCACUGAUGGGGGCCAGGGAUGACAAAAAAGCUACCCCGGGGAUAACAGAGUUGUCGCGGGCAAGAGCCCAUAUCGACCCCGCGGCUUGCUACCUCGAUGUCGGUUUUUCCCAUCCUGGGUCUGCAGCAGGACCCAAGGGUGGGGCUGUUCGCCCAUUAAAGGGGAUCAUGAGCUGGGUUUAGACCGUCGUGAGACAGGUUGGUUGCUAUCUGCUGGAUGUGUUGGCUGUCUGAGGGAAAGGUGGCUCUAGUACGAGAGGAACGGGCCGUCGGCGCCUCUAGUCGAUCGGUUGUCUGACAAGGCAUUGCCGAGCAGCCACGCGCCAAGAGAUAAGAGCUGAAAGCAUCUAAGCUCGAAAUUCAUCCUGAAAAUAGACAGCCGUUUCCUUCGGGAACGAGAACAUCUGUAGAAGACAGGUUUGAUAGGCUAGGGGUGUACGCAUCAAGGUUUUCCGAGAUGUUCAGCCCGCUAGUACUAAUAGUUCAAGAGAUAAAUUGG
rnacentral:rRNA from 1 species